rnacentral:rRNA from 1 species
GACAGAGGAGGCGAGCGUUAUCCGGAGUUAUUGGGCGUAAAGGGUACGUAGGCGGCUGGUCAAGUCUGGGGUUAAAGACCACAGCUUAACUGUGGGGGGGCCUUGGAAACUGACCGGCUGGAGUGGGGCAGGGGUUGCGGGAAUUCCCGGGGUAGCGGUGAAAUGCGUCGAUAUCGGGAAGAGCACCUGAGGCGAAAGCGCGCAACUGGGCCCUAACUGACGCUGAGGUACGAAAGCUAGGGGAGCGAAUGGG